UGAUUGAUAUGUAGUGAGAGUAGGGACCAGGAUGAGGAGACCCUGGAGAGGUGGAGAUAUGCUUUAGAGAGGAGAGGAAUGAAGGUCAGCAGGGC